AGGGAAUCUUCCGCAAUGGACGAAAGUCUGACGGAGCAACGCCGCGUGAGUGAAGAAGGCCUUCGGGUCGUAAAACUCUGUUGCCGGGGAAGAACAAGUGCCGUUCGAACAGGGCGGCACCUUGACGGUACCCGGCCAGAAAGCCACGGCUAACUACGUGCCAGCAGCCGCGGUAAUACGUAGGUGGCAAGCGUUGUCCGGAAUUAUUGGGCGUAAAGCGCGCGCAGGCGGCUUCCUAAGUCUGAUGUGAAAUCUUGCGGCUCAACCGCAAGCGGUCAUUGGAAACUGGGAGGCUUGAGUGCAGAAGAGGAGAGUGGAAUUCCACGUGUAGUGGUGAAAUGCGUAGAGAUGUGGAGGAACACCAGUGGCGAAGGCGGCUCUCUGGUCUGUAACUGACGCUGAGGCGCGAAAGCGUGGGGAGCAAAC
rnacentral:rRNA from 1 species